ACUCUUAUAAUAAUAAUAAUAAAAGUAAUUGAAAACUAAAUAAAAACAAUUUAAUUGCCCGCCAUAGCUAUCAAGAAUUCCCACCAUGCCUUCAGCCCCAACGCCUUUCGUCUCCUUGUUCGUUACACUCCAGCUCAGGACCUCUUCGAUUCCCGCCUUCAAGGUGAAGUUGCCAUCCUCUUCUUCUUCUUGUUCUUCUUUUUCUUAUUCUUCUCUAAUUGCGAUUGCCUUUUCGGAAAUGUUAUGGAGUUUGAUUGUUCGAACUUUCUGCUUCGGAAGCGAUAGCGUCUGUUGAAAACUUCAUUGCAUCUGCCGAUUAGAGUGCGGAACAAUUCGGAUUAAAUUAAGCAUACUGACUUUUUGUUUUUCCUCUAGAUAAUCGUGUGUAUGUUUAGGGAAGAAGGAGAAGGAAAGUGCUUCUUCUUUACUCCUGAAGUUAACAGCAACUUUUUCCUACCUACUCAAUAAAGAAGGAAAUUGGGAACUUUUCCCCCUUUUCGAAAUCACUUUAACCAGGACUCACGGCCAAGAACUUCUAGCACGGAAAAUCUGCCUAAACUGUUGGAAGACAUUAUGCAGACUUUCAUUGUGAGAUUCAACACCAGUUGGAGAGGGAAACAAAGUAUUUCUUACACGGGUAUGGAAAUCUCUGUUUAGUAAACGCGUUUUAAAAUUUUUGAGGAGAAACCCAAAGAGCAUGCUAUCUACUAGCCUUGGUCUUGGGCCAUUGCAUCCAUAAACACAGGUCCAAGUGGUCCCAAGCCUAGUUCAAGCAUUUAUUGGAGUUGGUUGAGAGUGGCCUGCAGAUGUGCGCAGGUAUUGUUGGGUGUAUAUCUCCAGAAACAUGGGCUGCGAUGGACGUAUUUUUGGCAUCAAUUUCAUCUGAAGAUUAUGAACCAAUGGCAUCUGCCCUCAUCCAAAUGGGUGCCACGAAUAAUGACGUCAAUGCUGUGGCCUUUCCCGAGAUCUUGGCUCCUUUUGGAAUUUGCUUUUAUUUGAUUCAUUCAAAUUAACUAAAAAAACAUGUUAGUUUUCUAGAAGGUCAUUGAAGUGAGGAUUUGGAUACUGAAAUAGCGAUAGGAAGGAAAGAUUCAACUGCUGUUGCUGCAAAUAUACUCGUAGACGAGAGGCAAAUGAACAAACUUUUGUGUUCGUAGCCGACAAAGUUCAUAAACUUCAGGGUACACAGUACAGGUAUGCUUUUGCAUAGAACAUCAGUCCUUAGUCUAUAUAAUCAGAAAGUUUGCGUUAUAGAACCAUAAGUAUUGAAUACUUCUGAAUAAUGAUCACUAGUAAAAUGGUCCUUCCUUGCAA